UACGUAGGGUGCAAGCGUUAAUCGGAAUUACUGGGCGUAAAGCGUGCGCAGGCGGUGAUGUAAGACAGUUGUGAAAUCCCCGGGCUCAACCUGGGAACUGCAUCUGUGACUGCAUCGCUGGAGUGCGGCAGAGGGGGAUGGAAUUCCGGCGUGUAGCAGUGAAAUGCGUAGAUAUGCGGAGGAACACCGAUGGCGAAGGCAAUCCCCUGGGCCUGCACUGGACGCUCAUGCACGAAAGCGUGGGGAGCAAACAG
rnacentral:rRNA from 1 species